CUAAAAGAGAUGGGAUUGAUUAGUUUAACUAUUGGUUACUAUACUGUGUAUGAUGAACAUGCAAUUGAUGUGGAGGUGAAGAGUCUAAUGAAGAAACUGGAGAUAAUAGAGAGUGAAAGAGAUGAUUUACUUGAGGAGAAUGCUAAAUUGAAGGAUACAAUAGACACAUUAGGUAUCUCAUAUGAAGGUAGAGAAGUUGAUGAAAGCAAUAAUCCAUCAACAGAAUCAUCAG